rnacentral:rRNA from 1 species
GAUGAACGCUGGCGGCGUGCCUAAUACAUGCAAGUCGAGCGAAGCGGGGACGGGUGAGUAACACGUGGAUAACCUCCUAUAAGACUGGGAUAACUUCGGGAAACCGGGGCUAAACCGGAUACUUAUCGAUGGAUCCGCGCUGCAUUCGCUAGUUGGUAAGGUAACGGCUUACCAAGGCAACGAUGCAUAGCCGACCUGAGAGGAUGAUCGGCCACACUGGAACUGAGACACGGUCCAGACUCCUACGGGAGGCAGCAGUAGGGAAUCUUCCGCAAUGGGCGAAAGCCUGACGGAGCAACGCCGCGUGAAUGAAGAAGGUCUUCGGAUCGUAAAACUCUGUUAGUAGGGAAGCGGUACCGAAUGAAGAAGCAACGGCUAACUACGUGCCAGCAGCCGCGGUAAUUC